rnacentral:lncRNA from 1 species
CUGCCAUCUGUGGUGGCCUAGAGAAAAUGAAAAUGACAGGGUUCCAGAAUUUUUGAGGCCACGUGGUGGCACCUUGGACAUAACCAAUAGGCAGCAAGGCUAGAGUAGCAACAAAAAAGGCCUGACUCACUGGGAUUUGUGGAGCUCUGCUUGGAUCCUGCUAUUACAGAAUUGUCAAAAGGAACAUUCCUCCAACCGCUUACAUUUUGUAGUAUAUUUGAGCAAAACAACACGAUUCCCAAAUCAGCCACUCCAACCAAGGAUGUGAUCUGACAGCACUUAUUCAAAAACAGAGAGGUUAGGGUUUGAAUUGGUGAAAUGAAUAAAGCAGAAGGUCCUGUCCAAUCUAAUGUGAGUAGAACAAGAAAGCACAGUAGUGUUGGAUUUGCCCUCUCUCUGUCUGACGUGUGAGCUGUGACAUCCAUCUUCUCCUGCCUGUGGUGCUCCUGGUUUCCUGUCAUUCAGACCUCCUGGAAUCUACACCAUUGCUUCUCCAGCUGUGAAGGCCUCAAAACAAACAACACCACCUUUUGUGGGCCAUCAGCUUACAGGCAGCAGAUCGUGGG